ensembl:miRNA
UAUAAGAACUCUUACAGUCUUAGAUGUUAUUAAAAAAAUAUAAAUAUAUCUGAAUUGUAAGAGUUGUUAGCAC